UACGGGGGGGGGCAAGCGUUGUUCGGAAUUACUGGGCGUAAAGCGUGCGCAGGCGGCGUCGCAAGUCAGGCGUGAAAUCCCCGGGCUUAACCUGGGAACUGCACUUGAAACUACGAUGCUGGAGUAUGGCAGAGGGAGGUGGAAUUCCACGUGUAGCGGUGAAAUGCGUAGAGAUGUGGAGGAACACCGAUGGCGAAGGCAGCCUCCUGGGCCAAUACUGACGCUCAUGCACGAAAGCGUGGGGAGCAAACAGG
rnacentral:rRNA from 1 species